rnacentral:tRNA from 1 species
GACUCUGUGGUGCAAUGGACAGCACAUUGGACUUCUAAUCCAAAGGUUGUGGGUUCAAGUCCCACCAGAGUCA